UUUGGACUCUCAUGAAACCAAGAUCCAUUCCAUAUCUUAGAAGGAGAAAGAAAUCAAGCUAAGGUAUAAUAAAAAUUUAUACUUGUGUAGGUUAAACUUCCUUAGUAUUUUGAUUUGAUUUUUGACAACUUGAAGUUGUGAUCUUGAGGUUUAAAACCUUAGAUCUAUGUAUAUAUAAGUGUUUCAUGUUUAGAUCUAACAAUAUUGGGUGUUGAUUUUGGUUGGAAUCAAAG
rnacentral:lncRNA from 1 species